rnacentral:misc_RNA from 1 species
AACGCAAAUUGCACUCUUCGGUCUUCCGGGGAGUAUGCCUGUUUGAGGGUCGGUAAAAUGAAACAUCGAUUUGUUGCUUGUUUGCAACAUUUCGGAGUUGGGUUAACUUUUGAUAUUCUCAAGUGACCUAAAAUUCAUUACCUCGGUAUGAUUAACGUUCUUAAAUGAUUUCGUUCUGAGUGCCGAAUUUAUUAGACGUGACUAUCUUAUAGCAUCACUUCUAUAAUUUUUGAAUUUCGACCUCAAAUCAAGCAAGAUUACCCGCUGAACUUAA